rnacentral:rRNA from 1 species
UACGAGCGGUCCAAACGUUAUUCGGAAUCACUGGGCUUACAGAGUUCGUAGGCGGUCCAGAAAGUGGGGUGUGAAAGCCCUCGGCUUAACCGAGGAACUGCGCUCCAAACUACUGGGCUAGAGGAAGAUAGAGGUGAGCAGAACUGAUGGUGGAGCGGUGAGAUGCGUUGAUAUCAUCAGGAAUACCGGAGGCGAAGGCGGCUCACUGGGUCUUUUCUGACGCUGAGGAACGAAAGCUAGGGGAGCAAACGGG